AAAAAAAAAAAAAAAAAAAAAAAAAAAAGGAAAAAAUACUGUAAAAGAUAUAUUCACUGUACACACAGGGAAGAGCUAUAUUCUCACAGAAAUUUCCCCUAAGCCAUGGCAAAGGUGACCACUUCUCUUAGAGUCCUCCCUGUUCCUGCUGAGAAAUCCACAGCCUGAGAAAUCCAUAGUGCCUCUUUCAGGGAGUGUGAGGUCCAUGGAGGUGCUAAACUCCCAAAGAUCCUUUUGGGAACCAACAGAUGAUAGAUUAAUAUAUUUCAUAACAAUCUCCAUGGAGACCAAAGCUGGGCUGGCGUGCUCCAGACUGAUGGUGAUAGAAAACCCUGUUGGCAAUGUGGAUUAGUGGGUGCUCCUGUCAGAGUCAGAGGCUACCCUGGAUGAUGUCGUUUAUCUCAAGUGUAAAUCAGAUGUGACUCAGCGGCAGACGCUGAGCAGCCAAACAUGCAGAAAAGUCGCGUCAGUGUUGAAUCAAAGCCUGAAACACAGAUCAUUAUUUCAAGAGAGUUAUGAGAAUGCCAUUAGUUUCAAGAAGAUGAUCAGCACUGCUGAAGAAGUGAAAGCCAAGAAUUAGAGAUAUACUGAUAGGAAGCUCUUUGGAUUUAUUAACUGUUUUGUUUGGACUUAUUAAAAAGGAAUGGCACCUGUUAAAGUAUAUCACAGGAAUGAGCUAUCUACUAGCCCCAGGGCUGUGACUGAAGGGGAGCUCUGUGAUAAGGUGAGGGCUCUCUAUUGCUUUCCAAUGACGAGGCACUCAGACAAAAAAAAAAAAAAAGUUUUGCUUUAUAAAUUGCUUGUUCAAUUCAAGAGUUUUCUCAAGCAAAUGCCAAAUUCUCAUGAAAUAUCUAUAUCUGGGCAUCAGUCUGAGACAUUUCUGGUAAAUAUGACAAUUCAAAGUACUCCCAUAGCUGUGUUAUUUAAGGACAGGAGCCAGCCCUGCCAGCGCAGUCGGUAUUCCUGCCUCCUGAGGGGCAUUUACUGGGGAGACCUUGGCAGUACCCAAAACAUUGCCAUUGCUGUGGAGAACAGACAAGUGAUAGUGCUUUGACCAUUCUUUUUUUUUUUUGCUGUCUCUUCACAGUGGUAUUUCAGGCUGCUGAACUGCAGGCUGUGCCCUAUGUCUGUCUUUACCGAAGCAUUGCUGUAUCUACUGGUGCACUUCAGGUGCUGCAGCAAACAGACAUGUUCCCUCGUCCCCAUCUUUCCACCAGCCUCCUCGUGCACAUCCUGCAAGCUUUGCAUAAGCAAGAGCCACAGCUGAAGCAGCUUGGGGCUGCCCCUAGCAGCAGGAGCAUCCCAUCUCUUUCUAUUUCCUCUUGCUGUCUCUCAUCUCUUUCAGUGUUUAGUCACGUUUUGGUGUCGGGAGCUUUCUCUCAGUGCAGAAGUGAGCUGGGUACUCGGAGGUUUGAUUCACUCACUGUACAUACACACCCCUGGGUCCUUUCAGAGAGGUGUUUCUAAUCCCUUUCCUUGAGGGUGUGUUUGCCCCUCUGCUGCCUGCUGUGGUCCCCAGCACCUUGCUGCCUCUGAGGUUUUCUGCUGUGUGUCUUAAUAAGCAAGUACAAGUCACAAGGUAAGACAAAUCUCUUCAUCUCCUUUUGUUACAUCUGUAACAGCCUUUGAGUCAUGUCAAAACAACUCUGGGCUCACUUACCUGCAUUCAGGAAAUUCUUCUUUACCAAUGUACACUUCAGACUGUGUAAAAAUGAGGCAAUUUCUUUUAAACGGUAAUUGUCAGUGAGAACUUUGAGACACAAAAGAUGCAAUCCUGCUGUAUGGAAGGUUAAAGAGCAUAGCUUGAUAGGUUCUAAAAUACUUUUGCAGGUGGAUUUCCAACAUGUACCUGAGCUAUUUACCAUGCCACUUCAACUAAUUGUUUCUAUUCAGACCAUUUUCCUUUUCAUUUUAAAAGUAGUGUGUUGAACCUCGCCAGGAAAACUGAGAUUCAGCUGGCUACCUUUCUUUUUUGGAAAAUAAUCAUUCUCUCCCCCUAUGAUACUGCAAUAAGAUCAGACAUCCUGUUUUACACUGUUUUCCACCACUGCCCCAUGGGGAUGAUUGGUCUUUUGUGCAUACUCUUUUUUUUCUUUUUUUUUCUUUUUUUUUUUUUUUUCUUUAUUUGGGCAAAUUUCAUUGCAUCUUAUCAUUCUUAAAAGUUAGAGAAGAGAUUGAAGACUGAUUACAAGAAUAUGGUGUACCAUGGGAAAAGUCUAGUUAUACAAAAGCUUUAUUUAGAGCCAACUAGUUCGUGUUCUGAAAAAGCUACUGCAGACAUCCCUGUUGUUUUUAUUGAUCUCAUAGAUUCAGUACUGGGGCAUUUAGAGCUUGGCUUUGCUUUGGAUACUGGCAUAUUUUAUUUGAAUUUGCUCAAAUUUCAACAGAUUAAAGUGAUCUGACAGCUUUUUGAAUGUUGGCCUGGAAAAAUAGUUUCUCAUACAAGGUGAGACAGCUGUCUCCAGAAGAAGUUAUCCCUCUACAUUGUCACCAGAUUUCCUGAUGUCCAGAAACUCUGGUCAGGUAGGAAGCCUCUGCCAGGGCAGCCUGGCAGGUGGCAUUGGGUCCAGCAUCCUGCUCUGCAGGCACCUCUCUUCUUGCUGGCACUGUGCCUCCUUCUGGGGCUUCAAUCAAUUCAGAUCAAGCAAGUCCUGAAAAUCAGCUGGGAAUCCAAUCCCCAACUCCCUAUGCCACGUACCUCGCUUUCCAAAUCUUUACUGCAGUGGCAUUUUCUGUAUUUUAAACAGAAAUGUUUCAAAACCGUGAUAUUCCCAAGGAUAUAAAAUAGUGCUGUAGUUGCUAUUUUACUUAAUAUUAAAAGGUUAAGAAGCCCAUGAAAACAUAUAGCUGUGUGGAAAUUAAUGAUGCUUAUCUCUUGUAAACUACUACUGUAUGUGUACCUAUCCACUCAUAAUGUUUUAAAAUAUACAUAGCAGAGUGCAGAUAGUGAUAACACAUUUGAUUUUAUCUGCUGCAAAUAUAUAUAUAUAUUUGUAUGUCAGACAAAUAACUUCUCUUUCUACACUCUCUAUUGAUAGAGUCCAUAUAAGAUUUAAUCUGAGUGUGCUUCUCCAUGUUAUUCAUCUCAACUGUGCACUCAGAAAGUUCAAACAUUUAAAUUGGUUGAAAGUUAGAAUAUUAAUGGCUGUUCUUAGAAAUUCAGUAACAGUUACAUUUUCCCAGCUGAUGGAUACUAUCACAAAUGGCUACUGCAGGAGUGUAGGUAGGUAAUUACUCAGUGACAAUUAGGAUCUUAGCCCAAGUAUAUGAAGAUUUCCUAGUAUAUGUAAAGGGAAACACUGGAGCACUUUGAAAUCCUGAUUGCUGUAGGAGUGUGUUACCAAUCCUAGCUGAUAAACCUUGGAGUAGCUGUUGGCAGCAGUGUUGUGUAUUACCUAGGUGCUAGGUCUGGGAGAAUGCAGGUUACCCCCUCCAGAGGACACAUGAUUUGGUGUAGAUGAAUGUUGUUUACUCUUAAAAUAUCAAUCUUGGUGAAAGAGAAGACUGCCAAGGAGAAAUACAGUUUCUCUCCAAAAGUGCAAGUUUUCAAUUAGAAAGACAGAAAAAGAAGCAUAAAAUUUGCAGAGAAUUCAGCAGGCAAGGAAGCAAGCCGUGUGCAAUGUUACUCUGCAACUAGCUACCUCCUCUUAGUGCAAAGACAGAACACAUGCUUCAUUUAAAACCUGUUUUUAAAUACACCCCUAAUUAUGAAAUCAUUACCCGAGACCUGCGUGAUAAGGAAAGAAGAAUUAUUAUAUUAACCUGGGGUCCUCGGUGCACUCAGAGGCAUCACAAAGCAGCUCUCCUGCAGUCAAAGCCUGCGCACUCCCUCUUUUCUCUCAUCCAGUGAGUCACUUUUUCCUUUUAAUCUCCUAUUAAAAUCCUUUCUAUCCUCUUCAGUUUAUGACUCUGUUGCUGCAAGGUGGUUUGUGGCACUCGGUAUGGCUAAUCCUUGGGAUCGCAUCGUAUUGAGAACAGAAUAAUUGAAAACAGCUUGAAGCAGUUGUAGUUAGGCACACAAAUCAAUGACAGAUAAUCAUUUAAGCACAAACUGAAACAGACAUUUACAUGGAAAAUAAUCAUGGCCUUGGAGUUACACCCUGUUCUUGCCAUGCAAAAUCUCUCAUGGAUUUGGCAGAGUACCAUCGGAUGCAAAAUCUGAUUGCCAACGUGCCCAUUCCUUUGAGACAGCCCUGGCAAACCCCUGCUGGAAAUCUGAGCUCAGCUGUAAACAGGUUUGCAUGAAGAGCUGUCCACCUUUGGGUGAAAUAAAACUGCACUUGCCCCCAGGCUGUGUGAGGUUGUGGUCUGAGAUGAGCAGCCCAGAGCAGUAAACAGCCACAAGGCUUUGUGUGUGGGGCUGCAUCUCCCCUUUCAGGCUUCUGCUCCCAUCCCAAGGCCCCACCAAGGAAGGGGUCAUGCUCAGGUGCACUAUCCUGGGUGUGGAAGCGAAAUGAUAAUGAAGAAAAACUCCUACACUGGAAUGUUUCCUGGCUUGGUAGUGCAGAUGGGAGCACAUAUUUCCCUGUCAUUUUGCACUGACAAUCAUAUUCAUACCAGCUGGUUAAAAUGUUUUAAUAAAUGAUUACCUGAUGAGAACACUUUCUCAUGGCUAUGGCGCUGGGCUUUGCUCAUUUUUGCCACAUCCAAAUAACCAUUCAAAUUAAAAAGCAGAAAAAAACCCAAUAUAUUUUAGAAUCUUUAGAAAGACACUUGGAAACCUAAGUCCCAACUCACCUAAAGAGCUCUAAUUUGAAGAAAAUACUUUGGGGAUGUCAUAUGCUGUCUGUUGCUUGUCCUCAGGGGCUGGAAAAGCAAAGCCUCCAUCUCUGUCUGAGGGUCCAUUCCAUAGCCAGAUGAGUGAGUGAGCAUUGUUAUUUGUGUGGGUCCCACAGCUCUGAAUUUCUCUGGGUGAAUUUCUCUACAGAGAAUAUUCCAGUGUGAAUAUUCCUCUCUGAUUCUUUGUGAGGCUGGGAGUCACAGCUGGCCCAGCACCAUCCAGCUCUCUCACUGCUCUCCUGGCUGCAGUGUCUGUGCCAGGAGCUGGUGCCCUGCUGCUGCUGUGAUGCACAUGCAAGCACAGAAACCAUCCCAAAAGGACUGGUCUGGUAAGUUCUUACUAGUCUUAUAAGUAGGCAAGUGGGGUUUUAUCCUGUUAUUUAACCUUUUGCUUUGAAAACAUCAACACCUGCACCAGAGAAGUUUCAAAAGUUUAGUUGCCAAUUUUUCUUCCACUUUACACGACUCUGGUGAAAGGGUAUUAUUUAUCAAACUAAGAGUAUAUUAUAAUCUUUGCAAAAUGGUAAAGAUCAAAGACUACCUUGCAUCAAGCAGAAUUACAGUGCCAUAACAUUUUUUCUUGUUACAGCUGAUAUCAAUCACAGCAUGACAGCAAGCCACAGAGAAGAUUUUUCAGUCGGUAUCACUGACACUACAACAUCUGAAAUACAGCAGCCAGCUAGCAUGUGCUCUGGGUGUGAAAGGGAGCAACCGGCAGCAUCAGCUUGAGAGUUUUUUCACCAUGGUCACAGACUACCCAAGGAAAGGAAUGAGAUUUCUCUUGCUCCUCCCCAGGACCCUGCCAGGCUGUGCCUAUGACCACUUAAAAGCUGUGAUGAGUCCUCUUGUUUUGCAAAAAGCAAAGUGACUUAAGAAAGGCAAAAGAGAAGCGACGUGCGUUGAGGGGGAAAACACGAUAAAAUUAAGGAUUUCUCUUAUUGUUUUUGGGGAAGGAGCUCCCAUUGGUCAUGUGCCUCUUCAUGCAUGAAUGGAAGAAAGAAGAAGGAAGUAUGUGCUUUAAUCGUGGAUUGGAAUAACACCCACUGGAAUAAGCCAGAGGUGUUGCAUCAGCUCUAGCAGAAGAUGGGAGAGGCCCUUGGGAAGUUCUUUUGGGAAGAGACCAAUUUGGCCAUCUAAGCCAGUUCCCUCCUGCUGCAGUCAAGUGUGUUCUUCUGCUGAGUAUGUGCUGUACACCACACCUCAUACUAUGUGCCUUCCAAGACAUCUCUGAGCCUCAUAGCUAAUGAGAUAAAGAACAAGAGAUCAAAUGCCACAACAGUAAGAAGCCAUUGAAAGAGGUUAGGUGGCAACAAGGUCAGUAUCCACAUGCUAGGGUAGGGAUUCUCUUAAAUAAAGUUUUCUGAAGUGUCAUAUUUGAGAUAAGAACAAAAUGCCUCAAGAAUCCCUGCCAAUGUUGUGAUGAAUUGAAGAAAAAUGGAAGAACAUGGAAGAAAUCCUCUUCAGUCUCUGAAACUGGUAAUUCAGUUAAUUUUGAGAAUAUAAGAUAACCAAACAGGCACUGAUGAGAAAUGAACGCUAUUAAAAAUAUGCUGCCCACACUGAUGUUCUAAUGCAAAAUGCUGGUUGACAUGAUUAAUUGUUUUAUCACAGAAGUGUCUGUAGAGAUGAAACCCACCCUGAGCUUUCAGGAUGGUGUUAUGCAUCUCCCAGAGCAGAGGUAAUGAGGGAUCAUUCACCCUGGGUGGCUCAGGCAGGUGAUUUGGGUUAAUACACACACCGAAGAGGCCAUUAGGUAGGGAAUUACUUUGCCUGAGUCCACCUGCCAAGGUGGAGUUUGGAGCAGAGGAAAUUUAGCAGAAGGUGAAGAAACAUGCUGGGGUUGAGGAAGGGAGCCAUGAACUGGAGCUCUGAGGAGACACAGGAGUAUGUACAAAAAAUGAGGGGUUGCAGGGCCUGCCAGGGCUGUGCUGGCAAAGGGCCCUGAUGCCCAGGCAGCAUUUGGGGCUGGAGGGUGGAGCCCCUAGCACAGCCCAGCAAGCUGCAGGCAGGCUUGGGGCAAGUUGCAAGGAGUAAACAUUAAGGAGAAGUUUGAGUUUAUAAACUCACCCAGAUUAAACCUUACAAAUCUGAGCCAGACUGGGGGUAUGAGCCCGAGUAAAGAUUCAGAAAGUAAUGCUUUGCCCUGGCUCCACUCUGUUCUGCCUGCCUUCAGUUUUUCUCAAUUCAGGUGUAUCAUUGGGAAUUUUUUUUAACUUCAUCCUUUCUUAUUUCUGACUUCUGUUUUAUCAAGAAAGUCUGGUUCUUCUUUAUUUAAAAAAAAAAAAUAGGGGUUUUCUUUUCAUGAAUAAUUACAAAUUUUCUACUUCAACGAUUUGAAAAUUAUGGAUUUUGUUUCAAAAAGUGUUAUAGCAAACAGAUUGAAAAAGAAAUUAAAGCGAACAUUUAGCUAUCUCAAAAAUUGAAAGUUUUGAUUAUCCUAAACUAACCCUUAAUUGUUUUCUAUCUUAGCUUGUCCCCCUAGAUAAAUAAUCCAUGAUGGAGCAAUCCUUUUUCACCCCUCUCUUGCUACACCCCUGGAGACUUGCCGUGCUUGUUUGAGGAGGCCCUGGCAGGAUGUGCUGUGUAGGGGCUUCCUGAGAGAAGAAGCUCUCUGCUCCCCUCCAUGCUCACCCCAUGGGUUAUGUUAUCCCUUCGGGACUCAGCCUGCUUCAUUCUCUCUUGCUGUGCCAUGUGUUUCUCUGCCCACUGCCUGUCCCCUCCACCAGUGGUUGGGGCAUCUUCUCCCUUUGCCUGUGCUCUGGACAGGGACUGGUCCUUGGGUGGCUAAGGAACUCCAUCUUCCCUCCCUCCAACACUUCACUCAUCUUCCAUUCUUGUUCUCCUCCAAAUGCCUGCUUCUUAAGGAAAGUUUUGGGAAAAGGUCUAACAAGGCAGCAACUUUCAGGGGUUUCAGCUGAGCACAUAUGCGGGAGCCCUGAGGGGUGAAGCAAAAGUAAACCUAUUAGAGGCAAAAAGGGAAAGUUGAACAAUAUGCUUCUUCUCUUUCUGCAAGACAGGAACUUCCCAAUCUACUUUCUGUUUGGAAGGGGAGCAACACAAAGGAAAGGUUUGGAAGAUGCUGGCAAGUGAUAAAAUACAAAGACAUUCUUUUUCUUAUAUAGUAAAUGAAUGGUUUUCUGCCUUGCCUUUUGUUAAAGCUCUUAAUCCAGCCUGUAAAUAGGCACUUUCCCUUUGGACUGACUGUUUAGAUAUGAGAUUAGAGCUGAUCUGAAGUAAUAGGAUGAGAAAAUAGGAGAGAGAUAUAUAUGAAAGAGAAUGAUACAUUGGCUCACACUUCUGAACUUUCUCUUGCAGCACUUCUCGUAUGCUGUAUGUAAAUGUUCUCAAGUACAAAGUGCACUUCAUUUUACUGCAGACCUAAGCUAAGGCAUGGGCUCUGAGAAGCCUGGCUGUUUGAUCCCCGGGGGGAAGCCCACCUGCCUCAGGGCAAAGCACAGAUUCUCUGCCAUAAAGCAGAACUUGAGAGACUGAGAGCAGCAAUAACACCUACGGAGCUCUCAAGACACCUGAAGAACUACUUUGAUGCAUCUGGUCCCUGCGGUAGGUACAUUUAACAGUUGACUACUUUAAGUGAUAUUUUUUGGUUUUACACAACACUGGUUAUUUCUUCUAAAAAUUUCUAACCGUCAGUUGUAAGAUAUUAGUUGCAUGAAAUGUGUAAAAUACUCAGCCAUGAAAGUGUGGUGAAAGUACCUCCCCUGGUAUAAUUGACUUGGCAAGACAUUUACCGUGGUGCAGAUGACUUGCACAUGAAUGUGAAGGACUUCACAUGAAUAUGAAGGGACAAAGUCUGAACAAGCUGUGUUCAGACCCUUCUGCACACAGGUCUCACAGAACACAGCAGAGCAAUCACAGCUUCUGAAGGUUCCUUUUCCUAGCUAUGUCCUCUCCUUCAACACAAGCUUCCAAGCUUGCAGAGUUUAUAGUUCAUUUUCUCUAAGGUCUUUGAGACUCAACACCCCGUCACAGGUUUUGGGCAGUUGAAGUUCCUUCAGCAGAACCCAUCCUCCAGCCAGGGUGCUCCUCGCUCCCCACACGCUGAGGCGAAUCCAUGGCUGCACCCGCGGCAGAAGCUCUCCAAAGGUUUCACGAAUUUGUCAAACAGAGCAGCGGAAGCCCAGAAAGGAACCGAAUGGGAAGGCAGUGCCAGCUCAGAGGUGGGUGUUGUGCAUGGCCGUGUCACCCUGCUCACCUACACUGCUGCACUCUGAAACCUGAGCCUCUUCUGCUGGCCGCUCAGCAGCACUCAGCAGCCACAGCUGCUGCGGAGGGGACCUGCCCAGCUCUGAGAGACAGAUGCCUCGCUUGCCAGUGGUCUUUAGGGACAGCAUCUCCAGGUCAGCUUUUUCAGUGUGGAGCCCAGCAGCUCGCAUUUUGUUAGGCUGCUUGGAGUACAAUAGCUGGGAAGAGAUGCGGGCUGCUGACACCAGUCUCUCUAAUAUGUUAAAGCUGGAUGAUGUUCUGCUCAGAGGGUCUGAUGGUAUCAGCCUCCAGAGAAUCAGUGUCUGACACUCCCAGUCUGUUGUUCAUAUUGGUUUGGUCUCAGCUGAGCUAUUUCUAACAACGAAGAACAUAUCUGAGCGAGUUACAAUUUGCUGUAAUCAUAUUUUUCCAGUUUUUCUCUGUGAUAAUUACUCCCAUAAAUAUCAUUGCUUCACCUCAGCUCAACAGAGUGCUCUCUGUUUCUGUGCUCAGUCUCAACCUUCCGUACUUGGAUUGCUGGGGAAGAGCAAUGAUAGCAUUUGUUGUUACCAGAACCACUUCAGCUAUGGGACUGUUGGGGUUUCCCGAGCUAGUUCUGUUUCUUUGCAGUAUCAGCUGUUAAAAAUUGCCUUCUGAAUUGAAAACUGGUGAGAAAAUGCAUUAAACUGCACCUAUGUUUAAAUUAAUUAGUUAAUGAUAAUAAUAGUAAUAGUAAUUUUUAAAGGUUUGAAUCAGUUUUCAACCAUGCAGAGACUUGAAAACCAGAAGACAGGAUGCAGAUUUUCAAUUAAAUGUCUCUGGCUUUACUGCUGGUCCCUGGGCUUAGUUUAAUGACAGAGAGUGUUUUGAAUGUAAUCAAUGGGCUGAAGACCUCAGGAAUUCCAGUCCCUAGCAUGGAUGCUAACAGCUUUUCUGAGAGCCUUAAAGCCCAAAGACUUUAUAAGAGUAUUGUCUGUUUUUGACUGCUGGUUAAGAGUUACAGAAACAUUUCAACUUCAAAGUGCCAGGCACCAGCAGUACCCAGAAAGGAGAUGCUUGGGGUGAGACCUUAAGAUGCCAGUGAGUAUACAGGAAAUAAAAAGAGGCAAGAAUAGGAAGAUUGCUGCCCCAUUUUAAAAGUGGUGAAAUGUGGCAAAAGACUGAAGGACUAGCUAAAGUUACCUCUGUUGCCUAUGGCAGACCUGGCAUUUGAAGCCAUGUCUCCAGAUUUCUAAUGUACCCUCUUAACUACAAGGCCAUUCCUCCCCUCCAGAAAAUGAUAUAUAGAUAUAUAAAUGUGCAUUGAUGUAAUGCCAAGUUAUAAACCACAAGCCUUUCAGAACUCAUGUCCCUGAUAGAUUACAAAAGAACUUGAAGUCAGGAGAAUUGUGGUUUGUCUGACCUUAUGCUAAUCAUUCUCCCUACUUGUGUCUUGGUCAAAC